rnacentral:rRNA from 1 species
GACGAUGAUCAGGAGCUUGCUCCUGUGAUUAGUGGCGAACGGGUGAGUAACACGUGAGUAACCUGCCCCUGACUCUGGGAUAAGCGUUGGAAACGACGUCUAAUACUGGAUAUGAUCACUGGUCGCAUGGCCUGGUGGUGGAAAGAUUUUUUGGUUGGGGAUGGACUCGCGGCCUAUCAGCUUGUUGGUGAGGUAAUGGCUCACCAAGGCGACGACGGGUAGCCGGCCUGAGAGGGUGACCGGCCACACUGGGACUGAGACACGGCCCAGACUCCUACGGGAGGCAGCAGUGGGGAAUAUUGCACAAUGGGCGAAAGCCUGAUGCAGCAACGCCGCGUGAGGGAUGACGGCCUUCGGGUUGUAAACCUCUUUUAGUAGGGAAGAAGGGAGCUUCGGUUCUUGACGGUACCUGCAGAAAAAGCACCGGCUAACUACGUGCCAGCAGCCGCGGUAAUACGUAGGGUGCAAGCGUUGUCCGGAAUUAUUGGGCGUAAAGAGCUCGUAGGCGGUUUGUCGCGUCUGCUGUGAAAUCCCGAGGCUCAACCUCGGGCUUGCAGUGGGUACGGGCAGACUAGAGUGCGGUAGGGGAGAUUGGAAUUCCUGGUGUAGCGGUGGAAUGCGCAGAUAUCAGGAGGAACACCGAUGGCGAAGGCAGAUCUCUGGGCCGUAACUGACGCUGAGGAGCGAAAGCAUGGGGAGCGAACAGGAUUAGAUACCCUGGUAGUCCAUGCCGUAAACGUUGGGCGCUAGAUGUAGGGACCUUUCCACGGUUUCUGUGUCGUAGCUAACGCAUUAAGCGCCCCGCCUGGGGAGUACGGCCGCAAGGCUAAAACUCAAAGGAAUUGACGGGGGCCCGCACAAGCGGCGGAGCAUGCGGAUUAAUUCGAUGCAACGCGAAGAACCUUACCAAGGCUUGACAUACACCGGAAACGGCCAGAGAUGGUCGCCCCCUUGUGGUCGGUGUACAGGUGGUGCAUGGUUGUCGUCAGCUCGUGUCGUGAGAUGUUGGGUUAGUCCCGCACGAGCGCACCCUCGUUCUAUGUUGCAGCGGGUAUGCGGUACUCAUAGAGACUGCGGUCACUCGAGGAAGUGGGGAUGACGUCAUCAUCAUGCCCUUAUGUUCUGGCUCAGCAUGCUACAUGCUGUMGAGGGGCUGCAWCCGUAAGUGGACGAAUCGAAGCGGAUCUCAGUCCGGAUUGAGGUCUKGCAAUCUG